rnacentral:rRNA from 1 species
GGGUGGUAAUGCCGGAUGCUCCAGUUGAUCGCAUGGUCUUCUGGGAAAGCUUUCGCGGUAUGGGAUGGGGUCGCGUCCUAUCAGCUUGACGGCGGGGUAACGGCCCACCGUGGCUUCGACGGGUAGCCGGCCUGAGAGGGCGACCGGCCACAUUGGGACUGAGAUACGGCCCAGACUCCUACGGGAGGCAGCAGUGGGGAAUAUUGCACAAUGGGCGCAAGCCUGAUGCAGCGACGCCGCGUGAGGGAUGGAGGCCUUCGGGUUGUAAACCUCUUUUAUCGGGGAGCAAGCGAGAGUGAGUUUACCCGUUGAAUAAGCACCGGCUAACUACGUGCCAGCAGCCGCGGUAAUACGUAGGGUGCAAGCGUUAUCCGGAAUUAUUGGGCGUAAAGGGCUCGUAGGCGGUUCGUCGCGUCCGGUGUGAAAGUCCAUCGCUUAACGGUGGAUCCGCGCCGGGUACGGGCGGGCUUGAGUGCGGUAGGGGAGACUGGAAUUCCCGGUGUAACGGUGGAAUGUGUAGAU